AUUGCAGAUAGUGAAAAUUUAAUUACAAAAUAUUUCAAAAAUCCUUAUUUUAUGACUUGGAUUUUCGAUAUUGAUUUGUAUCAUUAAAUGUGAGAUCACACUAACAGCUGUAAAUGUUUACUCUACGGUUAUUUAUACCGACUUAUGAUGUUUGUCUUGCACUGAUUUUAUCCAGUAUGAUAAAAAAAAUUGUGUCAAUUUGUCGACCAAUUUUUGAUCAUCCGAAUUUUUGGUUCGAUUUAA
rnacentral:lncRNA from 1 species